AUUAAUACCAAGACAGAUCAUCUUGUGGAUGCCACUGAGCUGUCUGGUCAAUCCCCAUGAUUGCGCCUGGUGUAUUUAUACUCCUUCAUGAAGAAACGACUUGGAACAUUCCUUCCGGCCUGUUGCAGCAGAAGACUGACUGUAUUUUUCUGAUACAUCACUUCUGCUGUGAUCACACAUUUGGAUUUUAUCUCUCAGCCACAUUCACAAAAGCAAUGGAUUCCAGCGUGAAGCACAGCCAUCCCCUUCUUGGCGUGAGUUGCUUAUGAUAUUUCCAAAAGUACUCAUUGUUCAAAAAAGCUUUCUAGAAGCUCCUCCACACCCCUAGGAAUGACUUCAUCCUCUUACAUAGAAAUUUUUGAAGUUACUUUAUUGUAGAAAUUUUCUAACAUAAAAAAAGAAAACUCCAAUGAACUCCUUUGUAUUACUCAGCUUCCACAAUAAUCAUAACUUUGCCAAAAUCACCUCCACCUACCAGUGCCUCUCCUAAUUUGUUUCUUUGUUUCUUUGCUUGCUGAAAUGGUUUAAAGCAAAUCCCAGAUGCCAUGUCACUUGAUGUGCAAAUGAUUCGGCAUGAAUUUCUGAAUAUAAGGCCAUGUUUUGUUUGUAUGCUUUCCCUAAAACCAUGACAGUAAUGCACCUAAGAAAACUAGCAGCAAUCACUUAAUUCCAUCCUAUACACAGUCCAUAUUCAAAUUUCUCUAUCUAAAAGAUGUCUUUUUACAAUUGGUCUAUGCACAUCAGAAGUAAGCAAGAUGCACACAUUGACUUUUUUUGUUUUAAUACAGAAAUUUUAGGAUGUUUAUUUGAAAUAUUUACCUUUUUUUCUGUCUCAAGGCUAAAUGGCUGAAUUACUCAAGAAAGGGUGAAGAAAAGCUGCCAUAGCAUGGCCUGCCGCAACAGCACCAUUUUUUUCAUAAAGAUUUCCUCUCAAUGCAUGCUAGUGGCAAUCCAUAAUAUGGAAAUAGGGGAUGGAGUCAAUAUGUCUUAAACACAUAGGGCUUCACAUUCUUCCUACUAGG
rnacentral:lncRNA from 1 species